UUUCCAUCAAAAAGAGAUAAUAAUUAAAAAAAAAACACUGUUUUAUAGGGUUGUGUUUAACUUAACAAGAUCAGGAACAGGACCACAUUUAGAAUUUAGACCAAUUAAAUUAAAAAUUCUGAAAAUUCAAAAAUAAUAAGGGGGGGAGGGGGGGUUGUUGGUGUUUUAACUCCGGAUGAUCAUCCCUGGAACUGGAAGCCUGUAAGCUCUUAACAAAUGGUGUUCUUGUUAUUCUUCUUGGCCAUGACAAAAUUUUUCCAGUAGGUGGUGAUUUCCCUCUGGGUCUCAAUGGCAGUUUUCUUGAUCACCGUACCAUUCUUCUGUUCAUCAACGAUGGAAAUUUUAGCAUUGAUUUUCGCAGGCAGCGAAUCCAGCUCAUGAAGCACCUUUGUGAUGUCAAGCACGAGGCGCUCGGCCAGUGCGCGAGAGAAAUCUUCUCUUAUCACCACACGGAGGACCGUCACAUGCUGAGCAUCUGCCGGCAUGGUGUAGGCAGGAACAAUCCACCCGAAACGCCGUAGCAUAUCAGCUAUCUCAAAUUCAGUGUGUCGGCUAUUGUCCUUGAGUGAAAAUGCCACCAGAGGAACUCCAAUGUCCUUUGACACAAUGUUGAAGCGUCCUGUUUGCUCUAGUCCCUGUUUCAGGACUAUAGCGUUUUGGUGGCAAUUCUCCAUCACAUUUCGGUACCCCUCGUGGCCUAGGCGGAUCAGUUGAUAAUACUGAGCAAUGAUUUGGCUAGAACCCUUGGAGAAAUUGAGAGUGAAAGUGGGUUGAUCUGUUCCAAGGUAGUUAAUGUGGAAGAUGAGCUCUUCAGGCAAGUCUUCUUUGCUCCUCCAAAUGACCCACCCAACUCCAGCAUAGACAAGCCCGUAUUUGUGACCACUAACGUUAAUGCUCUUCACCAAUGGAAGCCUGAAGUCCCAUUCAAGCUCUGGCCACAAGAAUGGCGCAAUAAAUCCACCACUAGCGGCAUCCACGUGAAUGGGAGUAUCCCACCCAGUGACUUUGUUCUUCUCUACCAAUAGAUCAUUCAGAAGCUUAACAUCUUCGAAUUCACCAUUGAGUGUAGAACCCAAGAUAGCAGCCACACAGAUAGUGUUUUCAUCCACCAUUUCCACAGCCUUUUCAGGGUCCAUAACAUAGUAACCUUCCCUCAGCUUCACCUCCUUGAGUUCAACCUCAAAGUACCUAGCAAAUUUCUCCCAGCAUACCUGAACAUUGGCACCAGUGACAAUGUUGGGCUUGUCAUAAGGUUUUCCUUCAGCCUUGCGCUUGUUCUGCCACUUUCUCUUGAAAGCAAGUCCUGCAAGCAUUAUAGCCUCUGAAGAUCCCACCGUUCCAACGCCGAUCGCGGCCUCAGAGUCUCCCAGGGGAGCAUUGAACAGAUGUGCUAUCAUGUUCACACACCGAUUCUGAAGCUCAGUGGUGACAGGGUACUCAUC
rnacentral:misc_RNA from 1 species